GUGCAGCGUUCCACAUGAAUAAAGAGAUACUGUGUACAGCUCAGCUAUGGUCGUCUGUCUCCCGUCAGUGAAGCUCAGCCUGGCAGAAGGAGGAUCAUGGCUCCAGGAUUCUAUCACUCCCUGCAAGCCUAGAAGUUUCCUUUUCAGUGUCAGAGAAAGAGAAGUUGGGGAUAGAGAAGGAGAGACACCGAAGCAGCACUCCACUGCUUGUGAAGCUUCUCGCUGGCAUGAUGUUCUCAUGUGGACUCUCUACAUAGUCUUCCAAUAGGGCUAUAUACCAGUUUACAUUCCCACCAGCAGUAGAAUAGGCCACUUCUCCACAAUCUUUCCAACAGAUGAUUUGCUAAAGAAGUUAUGGGAUAUAUAUUCCAUGGAAUACUACACUGCAAUCACAAAAGAUGAUCCUGUGUACUUUGGGACAAAACAGAUGGAACAGGAGAUGAUUAUGCUAAGCGACAUAAGUAAAGAGAUGAAAGACAACUACCAGAUGGUUUCACUCAUAUGUGGAAUCUAGAGAACUGAUACACAUAAACUUGAAAAAGAAACCAAACAGAAGCAAGCAGUUUCUGAGACUUGUGAGAACUCUGGUAUUUAU